UGUAGGGUGAUGAAAUUGGCAGACAUGCCCCCCUGUCUCGGGGGUGGGGAGCCUUGGAUAAAGCAAACAUGGAGCUCGUGUUUUGCCUAACUGCCCCGUGGAGGUUCGAGUCCUUCCCCUACAG
rnacentral:tRNA from 1 species